rnacentral:rRNA from 1 species
UACGUAGGUGGCAAGCGUUGUCCGGAUUUAUUGGGCUUAAAGGGUGCGUAGGCGGUCUUAUAAGUCAGUGGUGAAAUACGGCAGCUCAACUGUCGAGGUGCCAUUGAUACUGUAGGACUUGAGUACAGACGAGGUAGGCGGAAUUGACCGUGUAGCGGUGAAAUGCUUAGAUAUCGUCAAGAACACCGAUGGCGAAGGCAGCUUACUAGGCUGUAACUGACGCUGAGGCGCGAAAGUGUGGGGAUCAAACAGG